GAAGAUUCUCAAGAUCCCACAGCCAUGAACGAGCAGCACCCUAGCCCUCUGAGACCAAUGGAGAAUGAAUCUACAAUAAUUGGUCUUGGCAUUCUUGAAGAUAUUCACAGCCACGGAGGGACGUGUUGGGGAGCCCAGCACCAGCCUGAAUUUGCUCAUCCUGAAGUCUUAACAGUACAAGCAUAGGAUUCCUUUUCUGGGCUUUGAGUCCCCGAAGAACUAGAAAUUUUGUGUUCCAUUUCAUCCAACCUGGCUGCGUUUUCCCCUGUUACCUCUCUGGCCUUGUACAGAGCAGGUCAUCACUCAUAAUUUAGCUACUUCUAUAUCAGAAGCUUGGAGAAAUGGGAAAUUUAAAGAUCUUCAAGGCAGAUAGGUAAAUUCCUUAAAGGAGACUGGAGAGGUAGGGCUGGGGCUUAGCAUGGCCUGCCUUCUGUUCCCAACUGUGCAUUGCACACAAGGUUGCCAUAAAAAAUGUGGGACACUCAGUCAAAUUUGAAUUUCAGAUCAAUAACAAGUAAUUUAUUUAGCAUAAGCAUGUCCCAAAUAUUGCAUUCAUUGUUGAUUUGAAAAUUCAAAUUUAAAUGAGCGUACUCUAUUUUUGUUAAAUCUGGCAAACCCUAAUUGUACAUCCUCUUGGCCUACUGUUUAGCCUCUGGCAAUCUUCCACUAAGCUGCAAGCUUGCUUCUUGCUGGGACUUUUCUGUUGUUACUGUACAGAACUGCUGGUCACUGUCAAGGUGCACCCUGGGAAGAGGGAGGAAGUUAACUCCCAUGGGACAACCCAUGACCAGAGGGAUGGGAGCUGAUGUAAAAUAUUCCUCUCUUUCCAUCCCUCCAGGGCAUGGAAUUGUGAAUGCAUUCUAUCUGGCUCUUUAGAAGAUACCAGUGAGACUGAGCCUCAGUUUCCUAGAGUGGUGACUAGGUCAACAACGCACCUUUGUUUUAGACUCUGUCCCUCCCUUCCUCCCAUUGCCCCACUCCUAUUUCCUGGGAUCACUUCAAAAACUAAGCUUCCUGAAGACAAAUAUUAUAUAUUAAUGCAUAUAUGUGGAAUCUAGAAAAAUGGUACAGAUGAACCUAUUUGCAAAGCAGAAAUAGACACAUAGACGUAGCAAACAAAUGUAUGGAUCCCAAGGCAAGGGUGGGGGAAGAGGGAGUGAAUUAGGAGAUAGGGAUUUGACACAUA
rnacentral:lncRNA from 1 species